UACGGAGGGUGCGAGCGUUGUCCGGAAUCACUGGGCGUAAAGGGCGCGUAGGCGGCGCGGAUAGUCGGCGGUGAAAGCCCGGAGCUCAACUCCGGGUCGGCCGUCGAUACUUCCGGGCUUGAGCACUGUAGAGGCAGAUGGAAUUCCGGGUGUAGCGGUGGAAUGCGUAGAGAUCCGGAAGAACACCAGUGGCGAAGGCGACUCACUGGACACGUAUUGACGCUGAGGUGCGAAAGCGUGGGGAGCAAACAGG
rnacentral:rRNA from 1 species